GAAGAGUAAACAGAAUGUCAGACCAGGUACCGGAUGGUUGAACGGGGGGGGGAGCAUAUAAACCCUGUGCCAGCAGCUGGCAGCCCAGAAUGAAAUGGUAAGGGGCCUGAGUGAAGGGAUUGCAGCUCGGUAACCUGGCCCACUGGUACCGGUAGCUUGGCAGGAUGGUGUCAGUGUACUGACUCACCCUUGAAGACAAUAUUGAGGCCUUUUUGACAACCAUUGAAUGGACCACCAUGGCUACUAAUUGGCCCAAAGCUCAUUGGGCUGACAUAUUGGGGCUGUAUCUGAUGGGUUUCCACCCAGGGGAACAUUAGAACUAUGCCGGUCAAGAAAGUAGGUAAAUAUGAGAAAGUAAAAGUGGCCAGCCUCUACCAGUAUGAUGUAACAGAGGGAACAUAUCACCAAAGGUUUAGGGCCCUCAAAUUCCUAAAGGGGACUACCUCAGGCUUUUGUGGCCAAGUUGAAGGAAAGGCGUUUAAAUGACUGCAACCAAGGUCAGCAGGGGAGACCCGUUUGGCUGAAAAGGUGGUCCUUGAACAACUUACCCAAGGGCUGCCCCCCACCCCCGAUGCCAGGGCUUGGAUCAUUUGGAGCUGACCCACCUCUCUCAAGGCAGCCACCAAGCUGCUGGAAAACUAUAUGGCAGCAGAAGGGGUGGAAGGAAAGCCAGGGCAGAGGGGGGAGAAGCAGCACUCAAGGGAAGCCCGAUGGACCCCAAGAGGCACCAAGGCCUAUGAACCUGGAAAGGCGAGAACAUCAGGCUGAGGGUUCUAAGGAGGGGAGGGCUGAAAGGGACAAUGGAUACAUCCUGAACCAGACAAAGAGGAGGAAGGAAGUGAGGAAACCAAGGGCCAGAUGCAAGGCACCCGGAGAAGAUUUGACGAACCAUCAGCUGGAGCCACAGGAAGGGGUCCCUGUUUUACAUGAGAAAGAUUUCCUAUUGUGAAAGCCCUGGAACUGAGUCCAGAAAUUAUUACAAGUGUUUAUUUGUACUUGCAUAAACUUGGAAGAAAAAUGGAAGAUGAUUUCUUCACCACUUUUGGGAUGCUGCUGUUUCCUGGAUGUUGCAAUGCUAGAUUCUGAUCUUAGGCUACGAGUGGAUUUCUGAUACGAUUCUAAAAGCCACCCAACCCACAGGUGUUGCUGUUCAUGAGGAGGUGUACCUGAGCUUUUGGAAUUUUCAUGAAUGGGUAUUUCCUGCCCCAAGGUUACUUUUGGCAGACCUCUGGGCCUGGACUUCAUAUCAAUCCAGAAUCAAUGGCCUUCAAUACAAUGAAAUGCUUCAUCCAAUGAUCCUAUCAGUUGCUGGCGAGUUGCAAACUGGGUACAGAUUUAGGCCAGUGUAAAAUCAAGCUAACCUGUAACUUAAUAUUCCAUUUAAACACAUUUAAAAGAUUGCUAUGAAAUCUAGGGAAAGUAGGUCUUAAAAUGUGCUUUCAAGCUGGAAGAAGUUGAUGAGAGACAUGGUUGGCUACUUCCCACCAUAGCUCAGUUACAUUUGGAAAGGAACUUAAAAUAGGUUGAUGGUUGUGCUGCAAUUGUUCAGGGCAAUGUUUUUAUAGCUGAAAAAUAUACUUAACAAAUUGUUUCUCCUGAAUUCCUCGACCACAUUUAGAGACUAAUUAACUACCACUCUGUACAAGUUAUUAAGUUUCUCAUUUCUUUAUGUAUUUUGUAUGAAGUUGCAGAGAUGUAGAUUGAAUUUCUGAACAUGCGGAACUCCAUAUUCUCAAGAGGCAUAAUUAUAUUUUACGAUGGGUUUCAUCUCUUAUAAAAUGAAAGAUCUCACACACACUGUUGAAGUACAAUGUGUUCUGCAAUAUAUUAGCCCAAAGAGGGAGGCAUA